rnacentral:lncRNA from 1 species
UUUCAAUUUUUAAAACCAAAAUUUACAAAAAAAAUAAAAAUAAAAAAUCUCAUACCUGAAAUUUAAAAGACAAUUAAAUUUGCUAGGGUCACACUCCUCUAACACAUUCCAAUUAAAAUUUGCCACAUCAUCCGCUAGUUUUCUCUAUGUAACCUGUUACCUAUUUGUAACCACUUAUUUUAUUUUAUUUUUUAUUACUUGUUAAUACGUUUCAUCUUCUUCUCUGUACUUCAAACCUUCCAACAAAAUUGUCCCACCACUAGAAUCGUAUCUUCAAGUUUUAGGAUUUAAUAAUCCAAACCUGCAUAAACAUUACAAUAACCCAAAACAAAAUUCCAUUGAAAACAUGUUUCACACUAAAAUCUUAAUUGGAUAUGAUUUCGAUGAGUAGUGUAGAAAUUAUAGAUCCCUUCGUUGAGAAUGGUUGUUCGGAAGGCUUGGAAG